CCCUUAGAUGUUCUGGGCUGCACGCGCGCUACACUGAUGCUUUCAUCGAGUAUAUAACCUUACCAGACAUGGUUGGGUAAUCCUUUGAAACAGCAUCGUGAUGGGGAUAGAUUAUUGUAAUUAUUAGUCUUCAACGAGGAAUUCCUAGUAAGCGCGAAUCAUCAGUUCGUGCUGAUUACGUCCCUGCCCUUUGUACACACCGCCCGUCGCUCCUACCGAUUGAAUGGUCCGGUGAAAUCUUCGGAUUGAGACUUUGAUUUCUUCACGGAAAACGCUGUUUUAAAAAGUUGAUUAAACCUUACCAUUUAGAGGAAGGUGAAGUCGUAACA
rnacentral:rRNA from 1 species